UACGAAGGGGGCUAGCGUUGCUCGGAAUGACUGGGCGUAAAGGGCGCGUAGGCGGCUCAUACAGUCAGAUGUGAAAUUCCUGGGCUUAACCUGGGGGCUGCAUCCAAAACUGGCGGGCUAGAGUUCUGGAGGGGGUAGCGGAAUUCCUGGUGUAGCGGUGAAAUGCGUAGAUAUCAGGAGGAACACCGGUGGCGAAGGCGGCUACCUGGACAGAAACUGACGCUGAGGCGCGAAAGCUAGGGGAGCAAACAGG
rnacentral:rRNA from 1 species